rnacentral:misc_RNA from 1 species
AUAACCUCAGGUUAUGAUCAAAAUAUUAUUCAAGUGAAUCUUAACUUUAUUUUUGAAUUUUCUUUAUUUGGAUCACCAUGUUAUGAGUUUUGUUUUGAAUAAGGGAAAUUAGAAAAAAAAAGAGAAGAAAUAUAAAAAUCUGACUGUAUUGUUUUAAAACAAAUUAGUAUGCGUUUCUUAGUUUUAAUGUUCUCUUUUCUCCAAUUCAUUCGCCUAAAAGGUCAGAUUAUCUACGAGUUUGGCAGCGGAAAUGCAUCAUGGGUAUACGCGUCUGCCGCGUGCAAAUUAGCCACGCCCAGAAUCAACUUCACGGAAGGUGAAAUACAUGUCGGAUUUGGAGAUGAACCUAUCAGCAUGAAAGAAGGAGAAGAGGCGUGGCUGGGAUAUAUCUUAGAUUCCGUAGUGUUGCAAUCGGCAGGAUGCAUGCCAUAUGAUGUAAAGAAAGAGCCAAGACUUGCGACAUUCUAUGACACAGGUGCUGACCCUGGUGUUUGCUUUUCGGCAUGUCGUGGAAAAGGAUACAUUGGUUUAAUGAACACAAAAUGUUUCUGUUUCCUAACAUUGCCGACUGAGGACACAUUUAGGACGACAUGUCAACAGACAUGCUCAAGGUUUGGUGACGAGGCGGCAUGUGGAGGAACGAACGUGAUAUCUCUAUACAAACAAGCUGAUGGAAUGUCGGCAUCAAAUGUUGUAGACUUUCCUAUCCCAAUGCAUAGAGGAAGAUGCGUCAUGUACGACAGAAAUUCAAAAGUAUUUCACUCAGCAAAAUGCACGAUGUCCUAUAGAAUUGGUUGCCAAAGUAUGCACGGAGAUUCGUUUGAUAUUGGGUCAAGAACUGUGACAUGGCUGGAAAUGACCCGGUUCUGCUUUAGUGUAAAGCACUUCCCUUAUGCAUACAAGGGCGCCUUAGAAGAUGAAGAUAGUGACGCAAACAUUUUCCAGAUGUGGACCGGGAUGGUAAAAGCCAGAAUGAUUAGCAAGAAUCUUGAAGGAGCCAGUAAUCCGCAGAUUGUCGGGUACAUUAGGGUGGAAAAUGGGAAAUACAAACUACAUUUUUCAACUCAUGCACGUACAGAUGUUAAAAGGUUCAUUUGUCAAGAAGGUACAACAACAACAGUUUCCGCCCAAACAGACGUCCACAAAGUUACUGUUAACCCAGAUGCGACAGUCACUGCUGAACCAGAGCCGGAGCCAGUAGCUGAAGGAGGCCCUGGCAAUUUACUACCGCUGUACAUCAUUAUUCCUAUAGCUGUAAUUGUGAUAGCCAUUGUAAUAGUUCUGCUUAUCAUCAGAAUGAGAAGGAAGAAAAGGAACAGAGAGCUGAAAUCAAAGUGGUCAAUGAAAACAUCACAAGGCAAAAUGAAGAAAAAGAGAAAGAAUUCAUUGACGGAAGGAUCUCAUCUGUGUCAUGAGAAUGUUGGAAUGUACGAUAUUACGGCAGAAGACAAUAACCCGGCCAAUAAGAAAGAUCGUCCAACUACGAAACAGAAGCCAUUUAAGAGAAAUGCAAAUCCAAAUUUUUCUAACAAUCUGAAUGCUACGGUAUCCCUAGAUAAUGUUUUAGCUGAUAUCGACACAUUCGCCAAUGACACUUUUAAAACUGAUAACAAAAAGUCUUCAGCGUUUGACAGUGAUUCAACGAAGCAGCUUAUGGACAAAGACGGAGAAACGUCUACAAAGAAAGUUGUAGAUGACGGCAAACCUGCGCCUCAAGCAGAUGUCACGGCUCAUGAUGCCGAUAAGGCGGACAACGAGUAUGCUAGAAUAAAUAAAGUCCGUAAAGUGUCAGCACCUAAGAUAGACGGCGAUGGACAAAUGUAUGACAAACUUGGUGACGAAAAGAAAGACAAAAACGUUAAUGGUCUAGACCCAAACUAUGACAGGGUGAAACUUGACGGUGAAUCGUACAAUACAACUUCGAAACCGAUGACCGUUCCUGACAGAGAUAAAUUGUAUGAUGGAUUGUCUCGGUUCUAAUUAUGAACAGAAAUCAUUUUGUUUCUAUGAAAGAUGAUAUUAUUUACACUGUACUAUACCUGAGAUUUGAAACUGGCUUUGAAGUAGCCACUUGGAUAUGAAAAUACAUACUGAUGUUUAAAGUAGAGCCGAAGACAUCCAUGCAUCCUUUAAAAUGCCCAAUUUGUGUUUUAUCCAGAUGUAACUGUAUCCUUGUGUUUACAUAAUUUGUUUUCUCUUUCUUUCGUACUAAUUCAACUGAUCAAAUAUUGCUUACUUUUAAAUUGAUCAAUCCAAUCAAAAUCGUCAGAUAACGACGGCUAUUGGAAUGUUAAAAGUAUUAAUUUCGCAUCAUAAAGUAUGCUUUCAAUAUGCCAUUUUCGAUAAAAUGCCCAAAUUUUUAUGACAACGUGAUGUAUGUAAACAAUCGGAGCCAACCCAGCCCUCGGGGAAGAAGUCUUGACUAUUGAAUCAUUGUAUAGUAUCAACAGUCCAGAUGCGUUUCCUUCAAUGUAGCUAUAUUCCGCUGAACGUUGCAUCUAAAUUUUUAUGAAUCGUUUGGACCUAAUGGUGAACCUCUCAAAUGAUCACAGAUCUCUACUGGCUACGUUUGUGUACAUGUACCAUGUCGUCGCAUGAGAUAUGUGCAUUUCGAACAUUGCCCGUAGAAAGCGUGUGUUGUGACAUUAAAAUGUUUGAUCAUUCAGAUCAGACUUUCAUAGGAAUAUAUAGUUCCACUGUUAUGUUUUUCAUAUAGUAUACACCAUUGAACAAAAGAGCUUUCCAGUUUCAGUACAACUAUGAGAGAUUUUACCAAUCUAAAUAACGAGGAAGAAAGAGAAAGCAAAACUGUAAAUCUCCAAUGAAAGAUAUAAAACAACAUUUUGUUUGUAUAUAACGCUGUACAUUUUUUUCGAUGUUAAAUGUAAUUGAAGUUGUGUAAAUGAGUGCAAUAUUCUAUGAGGUGUGGUAUUUGAAGAUUUGAUUUUUUGUUUAUACUAAUUAUUUCUAAUAAGGUACAAUAUUAGCAGAGGUGUCGUAUUUGAAGAUUUGCUUUUUUGUUUAUACUAAUUAUUUCUAAUAAGGUACAAUAUUAGCAAACACCUGCCAUCCGUAUUAUGGUACAUUCUAUAGCCACAAUAUCGACAUUUUCGAGCCAGUUAGCAAACUAUCCAGACAUUUUGUGAUAUUUCCACUUGUCUUAAGCUGUCAUCUAUCUUUAACAGCAACAUUAUGUCAUCCCUUUCGCCGGCUGUUUUGGCUGUACUUAAAAAUUCAUGAUUCUUGAAUAAGUUGCAUUACAUAUAAAAAUAUACGAAUGCGAUCUAUUGUUAAUGCUUUAUGACGGAAAAUAAAUCUUUAUACGCGAAUGAUAAGUAAACUGUUACUUUCUGGGAAUAUUUAUCAAACAUGGAAACUCGUGCCUUAAUCACUACCGUCUAUCGUCUGCGUUUCAAAUCGUUAUUUUUCAUUUCACAGCAGUGAUGUUUUCAUGUAAUAUUAUACGCAUACCAAACCUUCUAAACAAACCUCUUCUCGUCGAGGCUUUCCCAUAUUAAGUAAUUUGUCUGAGUCUAUCUGGGAAUACUAUUUUAUGAUAGAUCGUGUAUAGUGUACAUAUACAUAGAAAGAGUGUGCGCUAGUCAUGCUAAAAGCGUUUUGUAUUAUGACUGAAUGUGCCGUGCCGAUAACCGCUUCGUAUAUGCAAACAAUAGUUUUAAAUUAGCAUAUAGCAAACUUAUUGAUCAUUUUGAAAAUUCCGUUUAUGUUUGCAUUAAUCAUUACACAUUACUCAUACUGACUGUUACGAAAAAUGUUUAUUAUGUUCUAAUUAUAUAGCAGUGGAUGGCGGCCCUUAAGCACAACUAAAACUACAGUGACAGAAAGACGUGUCAGUAUAGGUUUCGGAGUGCAUACGUUCACUUAACGCACGACAUUAGGUGGGCUCGAUUCAUACAGCACCGUGCUAUCCCGAUCACGAGAUCGAGCAUUUGGUAUCCCGAAAUGAGCCGCGAUGUUUCGAUCAGGCUGUUCGGCAUGUCUCGCAUGUGUAUGUACCAUGUUGAUGCGCACGCAACAAGCCCGACCAGGGCGAAAUUGAUAUAUCGGGCGACACAGUCGAGCCCACAUACGGUCAUUUAAAUGAUUUAAUGAGUUGCUAAAUCUACCUCAAUGUUACUGUGCACGAAGGUGUGCCAAUAAACGGUUAUCGUGCCUGCUUCGAUUUAUUGGACCCGAGUACAGGAUCCUGAGCUGUGCAACUUUAUUACUGUUUAUACAUUAUAGAGUUAAGAUAUAUAUUAUAAGAUUAGCAAAUAAAAUGUAUUGUUACGUGACUCUUUACAUAGAGAGUCGGCCCAUAGUGUGCUGUGUCUGGUUUAUAUUCAACGCUAUUAAAUAAAAGUUUGAAAGUUACUUUCUGAUGUCAUGUAAAUACCGGUCAGUCGCCAAAACUAUUGACCCUCUGUCCUUCGAACUUCAAGCAAUAGUUCUGACGACUGACCGGCAAAACAUUCGCUAAGUGUAUCUAUGAUGCUCUUCUGGAAGCAUAAAACUCGCUCGCCCAAGCGAAAUAAUAAUGUACCGGGGCUUGGUUUGAUCUGUUCAAAUAACGUUUGAUAUGCUCAUCAGAACAACUAGUAAGACAUCUGUUCGAUGCACGUUGCUAUACCAACAGAAAAACCUCAAGAAGACCUUAUGACUAUUUUGUUCUAACAUGCUCAGAGACAAACUAUGAAAUAUAUGAAAAAAAAUUAACCAAAACUUGUUAUCUCGCCUUCUCGUAUCUUUGUAUGGGAAGUAGAUAUUAGACAGGUGUCAAAUGUUGUUUAUUUUCCAGUGUGAUUUUAACCAUUUAGAUGUACUUCCAACAUCCUUAUUUGGUGACGGUCUAUAUUGGCCAGUGCUUUUAACUAGUAAGCCUUGCUUCUGGCAUCUUUAUGGAGAUUAUGGUCAAUAUUUUCCAAUGGGAGAGAUACGAAGAUUUCUUUGUGGCAUUAUUCCAAGAAAUCUAAAAUUCUAAUGCCAAAGAACAUACAAAAUUCUAUUUUUUUUCAGUCUUGAACAUAAGUAAAACAAAUUUUACCGAAGCCACAAAAGUUAUGCCCAUGAUAUUAUAGGGAAUCGAUCCUGCCGAUUUUCGUCGCAAAAUGAUCGAUUCCUAUACGGUAACAUGUGAUAUACCGAAUGAGAUAUAUACUAUCGAAUUAAAAAAUGUGUACUUCCGGCACGUGCACAGAGCGUCUGACUUCGGAUGUUUUGGAAGAAUACGUUUUUCCUUGUGCUUAAUAAGCGUCCACAUAACUUGUCCGAACCGCAACGCCUUGCACAUCAGUACAAAUAUAGAUAUAUUGUAUUUAUACACGUAGUGUGCACUUGUAAAUAAAAAGCACCUGGUGCGCACAGUUCGUAUAAAUAAUAUACCUCUCCGGACAGUACACGUAUCCAAGAGGCGAAAAUUACCUGUAAUACAAUACAAUAUGGGUAGUGUUGUUUUUAUUCCAAAAUCUACCUUUAAAUUGAUAGGGAUUCGAUCCUACGCGUAGCGACGAAAGUCGGGAUCGAUCUCUGUAUGGUGACAUGCGAUAUACCGAAUUAGAUAUUUACUAUCGAAUUAAAAAAUAUGGCCUUCCGUGCUGUUAUUAGACAGUUCUUAUAAAAUGUUAUGGGAUGAGAUGAAGUGGGGUCGAUUCCCGAUUGAGGCAGUGCCUUAUUUCAUAUUAUGAUUUCAUAGCAGAAUCUAUAUUUUCUAAUGAUUUUAACUGAUUACUUGUGUUGCUGACAUAUCUAAUGAUUUCAUAAUAAAGUCUAUAUUUUCUAAUGAUUUUAACUGAUUGCUGCUGACAUGCUUAUGUAUUAUGAUCUACAUUUUCCAACGGUUGUGCUGUUGAUAUCCUGCAACGGAUGAUG